rnacentral:tRNA from 1 species
GGGUAUAUAGCUCAGUGGUAGAGUGUGUGCUUAGCAUGCACAGGGUCCUGGGUUCAAUCCCCGGUGCCUCCA